AAUUGCAGAGUAUUGCCAUGGAUUAUCUUUGCAGUACACAAAAUUAAUCAAACUGGAACAGAUAUGCAGGUGCUCUUCCAUGAAAUGCAAGGACCAUGAAUCAGCUGAUUACCAUGUAAGCCCUGGGUGAAGGCUAAACUGCAAUUUAAAAAUGUGGGGCUGGAGAGAUUUUCAAGUCCAGACAUGCUGCUACACUCCUCCCC